UACAGAGACCUCAAACAUUAUCCGGAUUUAUUGGGUGUAAAGGGUCCGCAGGUGGCUGUUCACGUCGGUGGUCAAAUUUCAGGGCUCAACCCUGGGACUGCCAUCGAUAGCGGUUCAGCUUGAGGCUGGGAGAGGUAAGCGGGAAUUGCCGGUGUAGUAGUAAUAUGCGUUGAUAUCGGCAAGAACACCAAAUGCGAAGGCAGCUUACUGGAACAGUUCUGACACUCAGGGACGAAAGCGUGGGGAGCGAAAGGG
rnacentral:rRNA from 1 species